AGCGAACGCUGGCGGCAGGCCUAACACAUGCAAGUCGAACGAACUCUUCGGAGUUAGUGGCGGACGGGUGAGUAACACGUGGGAACGUGCCUUUUAGUUCGGAAUAACUCAGGGAAACUUGUGCUAAUACCGAAUGUGCCCUUCGGGGGAAAGAUUUAUCGCCAUUAGAGCGGCCCGCGUCUGAUUAGCUAGUUGGUGAGGUAACGGCUCACCCAGGCGACGAUCAGUAGCUGGUCUGAGAGGAUGACCAGCCACACUGGGACUGAGACACGGCCCAGACUCCUACGGGAGGCAGCAGUGGGGAAUCUUGCGCAAUGGGCGAAAGCCGGACGCAGCCAUGCCGCGUGAAUGAUGAAGGUCUUAGGAUUGUAAAAUUCUUUCACCGGGGACGAUAAUGACGGUACCCGGAGAAGAAGCCCCGGCUAACUUCGUG
rnacentral:rRNA from 1 species